rnacentral:rRNA from 1 species
ACAUGCCUACAACAUAGCAUUAAUGCAACAUAUUCCAUUAGAACUCUGCAGUAAAGCGUGCUCAUGCUAAAGUAGAACUGGGAUGGGUGACUGCCCAGGAAGUCCUAGUGUUUUACAUGUG